rnacentral:rRNA from 1 species
CCUACGGGGGGCAGCAGUGGGGAAUAUUGCACAAUGGGCGCAAGCCUGAUGCAGCCAUGCCGCGUGUGUGAAGAAGGCCUUCGGGUUGUAAAGCACUUUCAGCGGGGAGGAAGGCGUUAAGGUUAAUAACCUUGGCGAUUGACGUUACCCGCAGAAGAAGCACCGGCUAACUCCGUGCCAGCAGCCGCAGUAAUACGGAGGGUGCAAGCGUUAAUCGGAAUUACUGGGCGUAAAGCGCACGCAGGCGGUCUGUCAAGUCGGAUGUGAAAUCCCCGGGCUCAACCUGGGAACUGCAUUCGAAACUGGCAGGCUAAAGUCUUGUAGAGGGGGGUAGAAUUCCAGGUGUAGCGGUGAAAUGCGUAGAGAUCUGGAGGAAUACCGGUGGCGAAGGCGGCCCCCUGGACAAAGACUGACGCUCAGGUGCGAAAGCGUGGGGAGCAAACAGGAUUAGAUACCCCAGUAGUC